GCAUUUACAUAAUUUUUUAAAGUAAAUAUUGUUGGUUUAAGAUGUUUAUAGUUAUAUGAUUUCUUUAUAAGCUGAAACAUCUGUGCCUGAGCCAUCACCAUACUGCAUUCAGAAGUAAUCAAAACUAGUUCCAGUGCAUUGAAGAAAGGAUUUCUGAAUCAAUGGAAAUUAAGAAUGGCUGCUAUGUAAAUAUAUUCAGAGCACAGUGGAGUCAAAAGUUUGUUGUGGAUUGAGAGAGUUGAAGUUUGAAGAUGGGAAAAAAUGCAGGAAUUUAGGAAGGUGCGGUGCAACACUGAUGUAAGAAUGGCCAUGCAGUUACCAAGUGGUUUACCUUUGUGAAAACUGAAAAUAUUACUGAGAUCAAAGAGACAAACUGAGAAUCCAUUUGACAUUUCAUUAAGAAAGUUCGGGAACAGUUCAUUUGGACUUUAAUUUUCCGUCCACUGAAGUUUAUGAUGGAGUGAGUACAAAGUGUGACUAUUGAUUCUCCAUCUCUGCAAUUUCUAUCUACAGAAGAUUAUUGUGAAUAAAUUCAUUUUCUAGCCUGAUUUUUUUUUGACA
rnacentral:lncRNA from 1 species